rnacentral:rRNA from 1 species
AUGGAGCCCAACGGAUCUGAUGCAGCCUCCACCACCGGGAGCGACGGCAUCCUCCGCCGAGAUCUGCGUGAGGUGGCCGAGGUUCUCGACGGGCAUGAGCAAUCACCGACACGGGCUCCUUCCCCAAGCCUCCGAGGAGAGGUGGUUGUGGCCUCCUCCUCCAUGGGGAUCGCGCGAGCUCCCUCUCCACCCACCACGCGUUGCUCCUUCACGGGCUACUCCGCCACACGCUGCUCCUGGUCGCCUCCUUUCCUCCUUUUUUCUACGGCCGAGGCAGACAGCGAGCUGCAAGGACCUUCACAAGCGUGUGGAGCAAGCAUGGAGCCAUGGAGGGACGGUCUCGCCAGCGUCAAUGGAUUCCACUCUCGUGUAGGACUAGGCAGCUUCUGCAUGGAGCCAUGGAGGGACGGUGUCGCCAGCGUCAAUGGAUUCCACUCUCGUGUAGGAGGACUAGGGAGCUUCUGCAGGAGUCCUCGUUCACAGCUCAAGCCCACCACGGUGCUCGUGAGAUCUCCUCCAUUUACAUGUACGAUGCUGAUGCGUAGCUCUGUAUGUGGUGAUUUCCUCCACACCUCGGUUCAUUAA